rnacentral:ncRNA from 1 species
GGGAGUAGGCCUUCCGGAGUCUGCUUGCAGGAGCUGGCUCCAAACCACCCGGUGCUGCUGCGUUCAAAAGGCGUGGUGGUGAGCGACCGUUGGAAAAGGCGCCGAUAACGGCGUCAGGU